rnacentral:lncRNA from 1 species
CUUGGUAUAGUCUGAUAUCUUAUAUGAAUAUAAAUCAUGUCCUUAAAUUUUCAAUUGCACAAAAUACGAACAUUUCAACGUCUUUUUAAUAAAACAAUUAAAUUCACACGUCUUUCAUUAAUUAUUUGUAACCUAUUAUAAAACUUUAUGUUGAGUACUGUGUUUUUCAUUCAAGACUACGGCUUUUUAAAACGAUAUUGUUGGG